UAAUUGUAAUGUGGAUUUGCGUUUUUCAUGAAGAGAGGUGGGGGAGCUUUGGCGCGUCUGGAGGGUCAGAUGGUUUCAAGUAGUCGUAGCGUGCGGAUGCAAAUCCCCAGUGUUAAAGUCACAUGUGUUUGAGAUUUGUAUGUUUCAUUUAUUUGUAAAAUAUGACCGAAGGGCCAAUUGUCAAUAGAUUAGAGUGACACCAUUGUUACUCCUAGGUGUAAGUAUAGUUUAAUCAGAGAUAACAGAGAUAUGACAGCUUUUGAAUGCUCCAUAAGAAAUGCAUGGGAGCGAAGUGAACACAGAAUUUGACGUAAAGGACGGUUGGGGGCACAACAUUUGUGGUGGUAAACCUGAUAUCUUAAUAUCUAUGUUAAAUGUUACUAAAUAUAUUACUAGUAAAAGUGACAUAACGAACGAAAAACACGAACUCUGAGAUAACCUCAAUUUAAUAUGAUGCGAUGGUUUCAAAUUAUAAAAGAAAAGUCAUGUUAACUGCAUAUGUAUGUAUGUAUUUAUUACAGUUACAUACAUUUUAACAAACAAUAUACUAUUGGUUGCUUCUGUAGUUCCCUAUUAUGGAAUUUCAAUGUAUAAAAUAUACGUAAUCGCACAAAUAAUGACAAAAGGUAAUCAAGGGGGAGAUUACUACAUGGAUGCUAUUAAGGCCAGCUGGUUUUUAAGUUGUCUGGGAACUUGAAGCGAAAGUGUAUUAUCUACUGAAGGCAUUUUCUAAUUGUUCAAUGUAAUAUGCAAACUGUUCAUACGAAACAUUAAGAUUGCCAUAAGAUAAAGUUUCAGAAUUGUGGGCUUGGAAACGACAAUAAUGUAGUUCUAGAAUUUCUGCCACAUGCAUUUGUAUAUUCACAGCAUAUCUGAGAAGAGUGUUUUAAGCAUGCAUUCACUGAGUAUCCACAUAUUUAUCGGCAUUAUGAGAUGGUUGGGAAUUAUUAAUUAUGGUGGGGAUGUUGUACCUCUCACUUAAAUUGGAGAUAUCUUCAUUAGCAGAUAAGAAUUGUGGUGUGAUCAGAUGAUUAAAAGAGGACUUGCGUUUGUGGUGUAUUUAUUUUUAAUGUUGUCGGUUCAGUAGAUAAGGGAAAAGUGAAGAGUGUUGUCUGUGAUUUUGAAAAUGAAAAGACAGGUCGGUAGAGAGCGGUGAAACGGUUGUGUCGAAAGGGUUCUUAGAAGGUACUCGAAAUCUUCGAAGGAUAAGAAUUAUUGGGAAGGGCGAACAAAAGAUAGGUUUUACGACAUGCAGGUGUACGAAGAGAAAGUUUCAGGAUGAUAGUGGUUGGAAGUCAAUAAAUACAGACUAUACAAAUAUUACAUGUUGCACAAUUUUGUGGGAUUUGUUAGCCCCCACAAAAUGUUGCUAAAUCAAAAGCAUAUAUUUUAUACAGAACAAUAGCUUGUAUUUGGUUAUAUUCUAAUAAAGUGUGAUGUAAAUAACUAUUAAUAAUAUGAGGAUAAAAAUAAUUUUAUUAACACCCGCACAGAACUAAAAGUGACUAAAGUCAUCUUCGCAAUGAAAAGGUAACAUUCAAUAUUAUAACUGUAUUUGUACCCCUUAAAGUGUCGUCCUUGAAUUUCAACGUUAGGUUGUAAUAACAAUCUUUGAAUGAGCUAGAGGGUACUUUUAUUAUUAUCCUCGCUAUAAAAUUGUACAGUUUGUGUUGUGUAUGCACAUUUUAGAGUUUUAAAGGAUAAGAAAAGUUAAUACAAGCAUUUUGAGUAA